CCAACCACCCUACAGCCAAUUAACUUGGAAAUCUUAUAUUCAAGCUUCUGAAUAUUACUGCGGUUGUAGCAAGGGAAGCAGCACAUCCAGGUAGUUAAUGUAGAAGAAACAGGGCACAGGCAGCAACUUGCAUCCCCUGGCAAUUCACAUGGUAAUUUCUUCGCUUCCACUCUCAGGCUCACUCCACCUUGCUUCACCAACCCCCCUCCCCCUAAGACACGAGGCACCCUCUGGGCCACGGAAGGUGCCAUGCGGGGAGACGCCGGAAGAGCGGGGGCAGAGUGCACGGUUCCCACACCCUUAGCCGCGGGCGGCCGCCGCGGGCCCCAGGAGUGGGGAACCGGUUGGGAGAGCGGGGUUGGGGGCGGACCCCAGGGCCGCACCCCUGGUCCCCCCCAUCCCCUUUCUACCGCCACAGACCCAAGAACCCGAAAUCUGCGGCACGAGGCGCGGCGCCCGCAGCCCCCGGCUGGGCCCCGGCGGGGAUGGGCGGGCAGGGGGCGGAGCGCAGCGCAGCGCGGGGCGGCGGGAAAGGGGCGGAGAGGAUAGCUUGGGCUCUGGCGGGCCGCGGGACUGGCAGAACCUGCGGGCGAGGUGGGUGGCUCGCCAGCCGGGACGAAGGGAAAUGAGGACCACCGCUCCGGGGCGCGAGUAGGCGCGUGGAGUCCGGGGGCUCAGCCGCCGCGCCUCUUCCUCCUGCAGCUGGAGACUGCAACAGCGGCGGGUGCACCGGCAGCAGCGACGACCCUGCGCGCAGGUGGCAGUGUAGAAGCCAGACCGGGAGCUUCCAGAAGUGGUUUCUGAAAGAGUCAAAUGUACAUGAGUAAGCAAGCACAGGAAUCUGAAAAACCACAGGUAUGUAGGACAAUUAAUCCACCUAUCUAGCUUUAUAAUUAUUGCAUUCCAGUAGUACUAACCCAUUUGCUCUUAUGUUCAAUAUUUUGACACUUAUAUAAAUUUCUAUGAAGUGAAAUGUAUUUUGAGGUAACCUCCGAGGAGAAGCAGGGUCUAAUCUAUUUCUGACAAUGUAUUUAAAUAAAAAUUCUGCAUGUCAUUAUAUUACAUGACUUUUUACUGUUCUAAAAGAGUUGUUUUUCCAUUGUGACCAUGUGGCUUUGCAUUUAACCAGUUGUUUGAUAUCUGCUUUUCAAAACACUUUUCCUGAAACUACAUAAAACUGCCAAUUGUUCUGAAUAAUUUCAUUUGAGAUAAUGUUAACAGAGUCACCUGCAUGAACCAAUAACAAUAUCAGCUUAAAAAUUUUUUUUAUUUUUUGGCUGGGUGUGGUGGCUCACGCCUGUAAUCCCAGCACUUUGGGAGGCCGAGGCGGGCGGAUCACGAGGUCAGGAGAUCGAGACCAUCCUGGCUAACACGGUGAAACCCCGUCUCUACUAAAAAUACAAAAAAUUAGCCGGGCGUGGUGGCGGGCGCCUGUAGUCCCAGCUACUCGGGAGGCUGAGGCAGGAGAAUGGCGUGAACCCGGGAGGUGGAGCUUGGAGUGAGCCAAGAUCGCGCCACUGCACUCCAGCCUGGGUAACAGAGUGAGACUUCGUCUCAAAAAAAAAAAAAAAUUUUUUUUUUUUUUUUUUUUUUUUUUUGGUGACAGGGUUUGGCUUUGUUACCCAGGUGGAGGGCAGUGGCAGGAUCUCAGCUCACUACAACCUCCAUCUCCUACAUCCUACAUCUCCUACAUCUCCAUCUCACUACAACCUCCCACAACACGCCGGGGUUGUUUUUGUAUUUUUUGUAGAGACAGGGUUUUGCCAUAUUGUCCAGGCUGGUCUUUAACUCCUGGGCUCAAGCGAUCUGCCUGCCCUGGCCUCCCACAGUGUUAGGACUACAGGCAUGAGCCACUGCACCCAGCCAAGUAUCAGCUUUUAAUAAAACUGCAUCUCACUGUUGAAUUGACGUAACACCGAUCAGAAUACAGAUGCAUUAGGAGGCUUCUUUUAAACCAAGCCCUUCUGCUAUUAACCUUCUGAUGAUUUUUCUCCUACUACCUUGCUGUUUUUACAGGCCCACUAAUUUGCCUGCUUGACUAAAAUAAGGACGAGUUAUGUGCUGAUGAGAGACAUGUUUGUAAUGUUAUUCGUUGUGACACAGUUCAAAAGAAUUUGCCUUUGAUUCUCACUAAAAUGUAAAGUUUUGCAUAUUAAGAUCCUUUUUCAACAACUGAGCAACUCUUUAUAAUGAAGGGCAGAAGACGCCAAAGGGAAGAAAAUAUUUACCUUUGUGGGCUUUUACUUUCUUUCCUGGGAAUGGUAGGCCAUAGCUAUUGGUAUGUUUUUUUGUUGUUGUUGUUGUUGUUGUUGUUGUUUUUUGAGAAGGAGUCUCUGUCGCCCAGGCUGUAGUGUAGUGGCAUGAUCUCGACUCACUGCAACCUUCACCUCGGGUUCAAGCGAUUCCCCUGCCCCAGCCUCCUGAGUGGCUGAGAUUACAGGCACCCACCACCAGGCCCGGCUAAUUUUUGUAUUUUUAGUAGAGAUGGGGUUUCACCAUGUUGGUAAGGCUGGUCUCCAACUCCUGACCUCGGGUGAUCCUCCCGCCUCGGUCUCCCAAAGCGCUGGGAUUACAGGCAUGAGCCAGCGCCUACCACCGCUAUUGGUACUUUCACACGGAUGCUAAAGUUAUUGUGCUGGCCGUGUUAAGGGUCAGGCAUCAAAAUGGCCGCUCAAGAGAAUGAAGCUUUCUCUUUGUGCAGAUGCAACGGGUGGGAUGGGGUGCACAAUUAUCACAGUGCUGGUUGUGGUGUUACCUCGACAUUCUGCCUUACAGCUGAGGAGGGAUUUGUUUCGUCCCUGCUAAUGAAGGUGUUAAAUAAACUUGGAUGCUGUUAUUGAAGCUUAAAAAAUAAAUGGAAGCUGGGUGCGAUGGCUCAAGCCUGGAAUCCCAGCACUUUGAGAGACCGAGAUGGGAGGAUUGCUUGAGCUCAGGAGUUCAAGACCAGCCUAGACAACAUGGCAACACCCUGUCUCUACAAAAAAUUACAAAAAGUAGCCAGGCGUGGUGAUGUGCACCUGUAGCUAUGUGUACCUGUAGUCCCACACAGUCGGGAGGCUGAGGUGGGAGCCUCCCUUGAGCCUGGCAGGUCAAGGCUGUGAUGAGCCACGAUCAUGCCACUGCACUCCAGCCUGGGUGUGACAGUGAGAUCCCUUCUUAAGAAAAAAAAAAAAAAGAAAAAAAAGAAAUUGAACACUUACCAGUAGAAAGCAAACAGGGAGCUCAGACUCAGAAAGUGUAGAUUGCACUAAAUACUGAAGGGUUCUCACUUUAAAGACUCCAUGGAUAAGGAGUGGCUUCAGGAAAGCUCUUGAACAUUUAGGAACAUGUAAGUUUGCACUGCAUGAGACUUAGAUUCAUUAUCUGACUCAGGAAAUUGGGAUGUAACUAAUUAUCCCUCAAAAUAUCUAACAGGAAUGGAGUCUCCUCAGUCAAAAAGAAAAAGAACAAGGUUGAUAUUUUAUUCCUUUUUUGAAUUAUAGUAUAUUUGUUGUAGAGCCAUUAGGUGCUUUAGAGAUAUUUGACUUUUGACAUAUAACAUACAUAAUAAAGUGUGUAAAAGGUACUGGUCUAAAGUGUACUGCUCAAGGAGAAUCACUUGAACCCAGGAGGCUGAGGUUGCAGUGAGCCGAGAUCGUGCCGCUGCACUCCAACCUGGGUGACAGAAUGAGACCCUGUCUCCAAAAAGAUAAAUAAAUAAAUAAAUAAAUAAAUAAAUAAAGUGUACUCCUCAGUGAAACUUUGCAUGCGUGUAUACCAUGUGACCAUCACCUGAGUCAAGAUGUAGAUUUCCAGCACUCCAGAGGAUUUCCUCUUGCCCCUUCUGUUCAGAAUUCAUCGUACCUCCAACAUGAAGGUAACCACAUUGUGAUUUUUAAAAAACUCCAUCCACUAGUUUUGUCUUGUAAGUUCCGUAUAAAUAGUGUCAUAUAGUGGGAACUCUUGUGUGUGUCUUUCAUUCACACAUAUAGACAGGCACUAGAAUUUCAUAGGCAUAACAUAAAGUCUAUGAGAUUCAUCCACAAGGUUGUGCAUAUCAGUAGUUCUAAUCUCUUGCUGAGAAUCAUUCCAUUGUAUGCAUAUAUCACAGUUUGUUUCUCCAUUUUCCUGUUGGCUCUUUGGAUUGUUUUCAGUUUGGGGCUAAUACGAAUAAAGCAGCCAUGAACAUUCUUGCUUAUGUCUUUUGGUGCACAUGCCCAAUCAUGUCUCUGAACAUAUGCUCAGGAGAGGAAUUGUAGGGUCAUAGGUAGGCACAUAUUUAGCUUUAGUAGAUAUUGCCAAACAGUUUCCCAAAGGGGUUGUACCAACUUAAAUUUCCCCAGUAGUGUAUGAGUGUUACCCAGUUAGUGGCUCUACAUUUUAAUGAACACUUGGUGUUAUCUGUCUUUUAAAUUUUAGCUACUUUGCUGGGUGUACAGUGGUAUCUUUGUGGGUUUUUAAAAACGUAUUUUAUUGUAAUUGUGGGAAAAUAUGUAUAUUUAGAAUUUACCAUCUUAACCUUUUUUUUUUUUUGAGACAGAGUGCUGCAGUGUGGUGGUGCGAUCUUGGCUCACUACAGCCUCUGCCUCCUGGGUUCAAGCAAUUCUCCUACCUCAGCCACCUAAGUAGCUGAAAUUACAGACGGGCACCACCAUGCCUGGCUAAUUUUUUGUAUUUUUAGUAGAGAUGAGGUCUCACUAUGUUGGCCAGGCUGAUGCUGAACUCCUGACCUCAGGUGAUCCACCUGCCUCAGCCCACCAAAGUGCUGGGAUUACAGGCGUGAGCCACUGCACCCGGCCAACUGUUUUUGAGUGUACGGUUAGUAGCAUUAAGUACAUUCAACUUGUUAUCUAACCUUCACCACCACUCAUCUCCAGAACUCUUCAUUUUGCAAAACUGAAACUGUACCCAUUAAACAGUAAUUACCCAAGUCCCACUUCCUUAGCUACUGGCAACCACCAUUCUACCUUCUGUGUCCGUGGAUUUGACUAUACACCUCAUAUAAGCUAGAUCAUGUAGCGUUUGCCUUUUGUGACUGGCUUAUUUAACUUAGAUAAUGUCCUCAAGUUUUAGCCAUGUUAUAGCAUGUAUUAGAAUUUAGCAGUUUCAAGGAGAAAUAAUAUUCUAUUGUAUGUAUAUGCCACAUUUUGUUAAUCCAUUCAUUUGUCAAUGGACACUUGGGUCUUCACCUUUUGGCUAUUUGUGAAUAAUGCUGCUCUGAACCAUUAUUGUACAGAUAACCUCUUCAAGUCCUUGCUUUCAGUUCUUUUGGGCAUAUACCCAGAAGUGGAAUUGCUGGAUCAUAUGGUAAUUCUAUUUUUAUUUUUAUUUAAAAAGCUUCUAAAGAUAGGGUCAGCCGGGCACGUGGCUCACACCUGUAAUCCCAGCAUUUUGGGAGGCCUAGGAGGGCGGAUCACCUGAGGUCAGGAGUUCGAGACCAGCCUGACCAACAUGGUGAAACCCCAUCUUUACUAAGAAUAGAAAAAUUAGUCAGGUGUGGUGGUGGGUGCCUGUAAUCCCAGCUACUAGAGAGGCUGAGGCAGGAAAAUCACUUGAACCCAGGAGGCGGAGGUUGCAGUGAGCCAAGAUCCUGCCACUGCACUCCAGCCUAGGUGACAGGGCCAGACUCCGUCUCUCAAAAAAUAAAUAAAUAAAUAAAGAUAGGGUUCCACUCUGUUGCCCAGGCUGGCGUGUAGUGGUAUGAUCAUAGCUCACUGUAGCCUCAAACUCCUGGCCUCAAGUGAUCCUCCUUCCUCAGCCUCCCAAGUAGCUGGGACUACAGGCAUGUGACACCAUGCCUAGGCAAUUAAUUUUUUUUUCUUGCUGUAUUGCGCAGGCUGAUCUCAAAUGCCUAGCCUCAAGUGAUUCUUCUGCCUCAGUCUUCUGAGUAGCUGGGAAUACAGGCACAAGCCAUUUUACAUUCCAGCCAGCAGUGUAUAAGGGUUUCAGUUUCUCCACAUCCUCAACAACACUUUUUAUUUUCUGUUUCUUUGAUAGUAGCCAUCCUGAUGGAUGUGAGGUGGUCCUUGUGGUUUUAAUUUAUAUUUCCCGGUGAGUAAUGAUGUUGAGUACUAUUUCAUAUACUUAAUGGCACUGGGAUAUAUCCUUUUGUGAAGUGCCUUUUCAAAUCUUUUGCCCAUUUUUGAGUUGGGUUGUUUUUUGGUUGGUUGGUUUUUCUUGUAAAAGUUCUUUUAUAUCCUGCAUAUGAGUCCUUUGCCAAAUACAUAUGUUACAAAUAUUUUCUCCCAGUCUGGUUUGCCUUUUCACUGUCUAAAUGGAAUCUUUUGAUAACUUGGAAGUCUAGUGAUCAAUUUUUGCCUUUUAAAAUGGCUAUUGUUUUUUGUGUUCUGUUUAUGAAAUUUUUGCCUACUUUGGGGUUAUUUUUUAAAAACCUUGUUUUUAGUAACUGAAAACAUAUGGAGACAAUCUGUUUGGAAGAUAUAGUAAAUUAACUAUAAGCAUAUUUCAAAUAUGUGCCUUGAGUGUGGAAGUUGGUGAUAUACACCUUUUCUGCAGCAGGUGGCAGAAAAGGGAUUUGAAGCAAGUAUGUUUAUAUGUUUAUAUGGGCAUAGAUGCUAUUACUCAAGUGGCCUCCACUCGGGGCCCCUCUAGAUUGGGAAGAACCAUAGGGAAGAGCUCAGUGAUAACUCUUCUGUAGGAAAGAAUGUGGCAAAAUAUAUGGGUAUCUAUACUUUCUCUAUUUGUAAUCCAUGCUUGCCAAAUGAUUCUCCCCCUCCCCUCUUCUAUCCCCAAGGACAGUCACUGCUGUUCAGUGCUGCAGCUUUCCUUAGCACCUCAAGAUCCUGCCAUUCAUUAGCUUUUUCUCUUCAUCUUUUUCUUGAAAGGUCUGCAUUUUCUGUCACUUUGAUGUCUUGAAAUGUCCCCUCCCACUGCCCCAUGUUCUUCAGACCCUUCAGACCCCUCAACCCCCACAUCUUUAUAGCCUGUUCCCACUACUAUCCCUCAACUCAGGCUGCAGGUAUGUAUUUGUUAAUUGCCUCCUGGACAUCUCCCUCUGGAUGUCCCACAGGUGCCUUUCAUAUGAAACAUGUGUUGUUCCUCUCCAGUCUGCUUGUCUGCUUUCCCACCCUAAUUAAUAUAUUUACCAUUCCUCUAGGAUUCUGAAGUAGAAUUCUUGGCACUGUUCCGGAUUCUCCUGCAUGACUUUUAUCACCCUCACAGCUCAUACUUAGUUGGUCAUCAAAGCUGCUGAGUCUUUCUCCUUUCUCUGAAACAUCUUUCAUAGACAUCCCCUCUUCCCCAUAUUCACUACCUUGUGGUUCUGGUUCUUUAAUCCCCCUUUAGGAUUGUAGUAAUAACCUCCCAUCUGAUCUCCCUGAUUCUACUCUUGCCUCUAAUCCAUCUUCCACUUGUCAUCAGCUUUCUUUUCCUAAAACACAGAUUUAAUCAUGCUGUUUUUUACUUAAAAACGAUUUGUAGCUCUCCACUGCCUACAAGAGGCAUUCAAAUCCCUAAGCAUGAUUUACAAUGUGAGACUCUUCAUUAUUUGCCUUCAAUCUGUUUUCUCUGCUCUAUCAUCUGCCAUUUCCUCCCCACACUCCAUCUGUCCUAAACUAUUUUCCAUUCCUAGAACAUUCCUUGAGUUCUUUCCUGCAUCUAUGCUUUUCACAUGCUGUUUCUUCUAUUUCUGAUGUUCAUGCCUGUCUACCUGGCAAGUUACUAGUUUUCCUUUAAAAGCCAGCUGAAAAGUGGCCUCUUUGAGCCUUCCUUUUCUUUAAGUAGAUCUUGUUAUUCAUCUCUCAUUUAGUGUGGUUGGAGGAAGUGAUUCAUAAUUGCAGGCAGUAAUGCAUAUUAAUUAUUAUACCCCCAGCAACUACUGGGGCACUACUUGAAAACAAAUGAUAUUUAAUAAAUGUUCAUGGAAUGAAUGAACUCAUGGAGAACCCAUCUGUGCUCAGAUUUUGUUGCUUAACAGCUCAUCACAAUAUCGGUCUACUUAGUGGUUUUAAACAACCACCAUUUAUUUAGUUCUUGAUUCUGUGGGUUGGCAAUUUGGGCAGGACUCAGCUGGAUGGUUCUUUCAAUCUGGGCAGGUCUUCUGACCUUGGCCACCUUCACUUGUGUCUGUGAUCUGCUGUGUGAGUUGGAGGCUGUCUCUUCUAGGAUGGCCUCAGCUCCUCUCUGCUCGACAUUGUGGUCUUUAAUCUGUAACCAGGCUAGCCUGAGCUUGUUCACACUAUGGCUGGCCAGGUUCUAAUUGAGAGUGCAGAGGCAACCAAGGCCUCUUGAGGCCUAGACUUGCAACUGGCACAAGAUUAUUUCCUCUGAAUUUGUUAGCCAAGGCAAGUCACUUUAAAGCCAGCCCUGAUUCAGGAGGUGAGGAAGUAGGUUCUAUCUCUUGAUGGAAGGAGCUAUUUAUAUAAUCACAUUGCAAGGAACAUGGAUAGAGAGAAGAGAAUAAUUGAAGCCUUUUUGCAAGCAAUCUACUACACUUAUUUGGGAGCAGGAAUGGAGAUUAGAGCAGGUUGGGCCAAGGAGGUUUAUUCCACUUAGAUCAGCAGCGGGGUGCACAGUUGUGGCCCUCACUCAUGGGUUUAAUUGCACCUAACAUGAGCCCAAGAUGGUUCUGUGGUUCCUAGCAUCCUCUUUUGGCCCUCCUCUCAAAUCCUCAGCCCCUCUCCCCGCUUUUUUUUUUUUUUAAUCUGAAGCAUAUCUAAGACAGCCCCAGUUUCCUUUUGGCAUUGGUAAUUUGGGCUGGCCUAGUGGAAAUACCACUGGUGGUGCUAUGGGAUGAGGAAGGAGCUCUUCAGUAUUGGAAAAGGGAACAACACCUUUCCUCUUCAUCCUGGAAGCUGCUGUAUAUAGCCUUGGAAAUUGGGGGCUUUCUCAUUGUGAAGCACCCUCAAGUAUUUGCCAUUGAUUUGUCUCUAUCCUCCGAUUUAAAAGGCAUUUUCUAGGAGAGGAGAGUGUCAGGAAACAAAAAGAGAUCUGAUAGAUUGGGACUGUUCAUCUAUGUUCUUCCUCGCCAUGUGUGAAAAUUUAAGAUAUUCUCCUACUGAGAAACAGUAGUCCUUUACCCAAUUAUAAUGUCUGUGUGCUUUCCCAGCUGUUACAAACUCUUCAGAGUGGAAACAUGAAUUUAAACGUCUCUGAUACACCACCCAUGAAAGGAACCUUUUUUGAGGACUAGACUACAUUAGGAAAAAGUAUAGUUACAGUAUACAACGCAGGAACUCAGUUGAAAUAUGCUAAAACAUGUAUGAAGAGAUCCUAGUUUUCAAGAGGUAGUAUAAUAACCAUGAAUAAGUUCUAGCUUUUCCAGAACUUGGCUUCAGUGUACAUCUGAAUGUUUUAGUAGAGUUGUUAGAAGCAGUUAAAAAAAAAAGCAGAUGUAAAUUUCACCUCAUUCAUGCCCAUUUCUACUAAUCCUAGAGAUAGAGCCGUACUGUGAAGUGACCAAAAUGCAUAAAAGAAUGGGAGGCACUUACAGGGUCUUAAGACCCCUCAUGACCGCUAAGUGAACUCUCAUUGCCUCUUGCCAGUCCUAGAUUGGCUGCUGACACAGUUGGAGGCAUGAAAAAUCCACAACCUGAGUAAUCCUCUGCUGAAAUAACAGCUGUGCCAUUUGUGGGUGAAAAUAGAAUUUUUUUCCUGCCCCUCUGGAAUUUUAAUUUAUCUUUUCCAAAUUUUUUAUUAUGGCAUGCUCAUGCUUUUCAUUUUAUUCAACAGAAGAUUGAGUUUUUAUCUCACCAUGCCUUGUGUGUAGAUCAUUUCCUUAUUGGAUUCUGUGUAGUGUUUGUUGUUUACUUAAUGACAACAUAAACUCAGAUAGUAGUCAUAGUUAAAUAUUUUUAGAGGACCACAACAAUUUGAGUUACGAAAUCAAUAUUUUUAUCAAUUAAAAAUGUAUCAAAUCAAGGUAUUUUAACAGACUAAAAUAAGACACUAAUUUUUGUUUUUCCAAAAGAGUUAGCUUUGGCUGGGCGCAGUGGCCCAAGCCUAUAAUUCCAGCACUUUGGGAGGCCAAGAUGGGUGGAUUACGAGGUCAGGAGUUCAAGACCAGCCUGGCCAACAUGGUGAAACCCCGUCUGUACUAAAAAUACAAAAAUUAGCCGGGUGUAGUAGCGGGCUCCUGUGGUCCCAGCUACUCAGGAGGCUGAGGCAGGAGAAUUGCUUGAACCUGGGAGGAGGAGGUUGCAGUGAGCUGAGAUCACGCCACUGCACUCCAGCCUGCGGACAGAGCAAGACUCCGUCUCAGGGAAGGAAAAAAAAAAAAAGAGCUUGAUGUCAUAAGCAACCAUAAAACAUUUUAUAUACUAUACUGCCAACAUGAUGCAUAAUGUGAAUUGUAAGUUACAUUUACUGAUGUAUAAAUACAUGGUCUGGGUCGGGUACGGUGGCUCACACCUGUAAUCCCAGCACUUUGGGAGGCUGACUGAGACAGGUGGAUCAUGAGGUCAGGAGAUCGAGACCAUCUUGGCUAACACAGUGAAACCCCAUCUCUACUAAAAAGUAAAAAAAUUAGCCGGGCGUGGUGGUGGGCACCUGUAGUCCCAGCUACUCGGGAGGCUGAAGCAGGAGAAUGGUGUGAACCUGGGAGGUGGAGCUUGCAGUGAGCCAAGAUCGUGCCACUGCACUCCAGCUUGGGCAACACAGCGAGACUCCAUCUCAAAAACAAAAACAAAAACAAACAAAAAAACAUGGUCUAUAUGUACUAUACUAUGUCUCUGUUGUGGGGAGUGGGGUGGGAGAGAGAGAGAAAGACAGAGAGAGAGAGAAAGCGAACAAACCCACACAUCCUCCUGUGAAAGGUUAAAAUACCGGCAAAAGCUAUAUGAAAAGCAUAAGUAAAUGUAGAUCUUAUAUUUGUUAAAACAGCCAUGUAGGACAAUGAUUAAAUUCAAUGAGGGAAGGGAUUAUUAGCUAACAAGUAUAUUUACAUUGAAGGAAGGCUGUGACAGAGAAACAACUAAUACAUUCAAGGUGGUAGUUUUACAAGCCCUAGGUGCCACACUGAGUGAUGUUAAUGGACCUAGUCUACUGUUGGCUUUUAUUUUUAUUUUUUUAUUUUAUAUAUUUUUAUUUUUUAUUUUUUUUUUUGAGAUAGGGUCUCACUCUGUCACCCGGGCUGGAGUGCAGUGCCGGGAUCUCGGCUCACAGCAACCUCUGCUUCCCAGGUUCCAGGGAUUCUCCUGCCUCAGCCUCCCAAGUAGCUGGGACUACAGGCGUGUACCACCACGCCCAGCUAAUUUCUUUUUGUGUUUUUCUUUUUAGUAGAGAUAGGGUUUCGCCAUGUUGGCCAGGCUGGUCUCAAACUCCUGACCUCAGGUGAUCCACCCGCCUUGGUCUCCCAAAGUGUUGGGAUUACAGGUGUGAGCCACCACGUCCGGCCUAUAUUUUUUAUAUUUUUGAGACGGAGUCUCACUGUGUUACCUGGGCUGGAGUGCGGUGGUGCUAUCUCGGCUUGCUGCAACCUCCGCCUCCUGGGUUCAAGUGAUUCUCCUCCCUGCCACCACACCUGGCUAAUUUUUGUAUUUUUAGUAGAGACGGGGUUUUACCAUGUUGGCCAGCCUGGUCUUGAACUCCUGACCUCAAAUGAUAUGCUCACCUCAGCCUCCCAAACAGCUGGGAAUACAGGUGUGAGCCACUGCGCCCAGCCUGUUGGCUUUUAAAAGAGAUUUUAGAAUGUGCACAUUUAAGAUGGACUAGAUGGUAAUCAAUUACUCUCCAAUCAUUUGAAUACUAAUCCUUACAUUGGAAAAUAUUUAGGAUGAAUUAUAUGUUUUAUAAAAAUAUUCUGUUUUUUUCCUGAUUAAUGAUGUAAUCAAAAUUUUCUUACUGUCAUGGCAUUGUCAGUAUGGUGGAUUUCUGGAUGUAGGCUUGGGCACAGAGGUCAACAUCUAUGGUUGCAGAAGCAUCUUUGCUUAUCCAGUAGCGCAGCUGUGCAUGCAGGUAUUUGACCAGGAAAAUAUAAUGGGGAAAGACAAUAGAGUCUUAAUGAAUUUCUUAAAGAGGAAGGGGUGUGGCCGUCUCAGCUAAUCCCAAUGCUUCAGAUUUGUACACGAUUGAAAGAACAGAUGAUAUUUUUCCUUAGAACAGCUGAGGAAAGUAAAAUGCCAUGCGCACUGAUUGAACACCUUGUGCCCUGUUGACAAACCAUGCAUAGGAUCAUCUGUUGUUCUUUCUUUACCUCCCGGGAGGGCAAUGUGGGAUCUCUUCCUUUAGUCACCAAUAUAUAUGAUAAUACUAUGCAUUUUCUUUUCUUUUUUUUGAGAUGGAGUCUCGCUCUGUUACCUAGGCUGGAGUGCAGUGGUGUGAUCUCAGCUCACCACAACCUUCGCCUCCUGGGCUGGGUUCAAGCGAUUCUCCUGCCUCAGCCUCCCAAAUAGCUGGGACUACGGGUGCACGCCACCAUGCCCGGCUAAUUUUUGUAUUUUUAGUAGAGACGGGGUUUCCCUAUAUUGACCAGGCUGGUCUUGAGCUCCUGACCUCAUGAUCUGCCCACCUUGGCUUCCCAAAGUGCUGGGAUUACAGGUGUGAGCCACCGGGCCCGGCCAAUACUAUGCAUUUUCUUAUCCAUGUUAUGAGGAAGGCCUCGAGACUCAGACAUAAUCUGAUUGCUGGGAUUUAAGUGACAGUCGCUGCUGGCUUUUAAAUGGAAAUUUUAGAACGUACACAUUUCAAAUGCCACAACCUUUCUUGCUUCUUUGACAUGUGGUCCUGCUCUGCCUGUGCUGGUGAACAUCAGGUACAGUCAUAGUGUAUGUGUGUGUGUGUGUGUGUGUGUGUGUGUGUGUGUGUGUGUGUAGCAAGGUGAGGAGGGGAGCGGUUCUUCCCAGUGAUUGUAACAGAUUUUUCCUACCUAUGUGGUCAUAGUGAAUGAGUACCUAGUGUUCUGUAUUUUUUAUCACUAUUGGUGAUUUUCCAUCACUAUCAGUGAAAAAAUAUAUAUUUAUAUAUUCAUAAAAAUAACAAUAUUUCACCAAGAGCUUUGACCCUGAAUUGAUGUGACCUUGGACUUGCCUGAUGCUGGAAUCAGAUGGCUGAACUAGAAGUGAGGAGGCUGCUGUUCUAUCCCCAGUUAGCUUCUAAGUAGCUAUGAUGUCUGGGCACAUCCUUUUUAUUGGUCUGGACUUAGGUAUUGUCAUCUUUAACAUGAGAGUUGGACUGUUUUUUGUUUUCUGUUUUUUUUAAUUUUUUUUAAAGAGACAGAGUCUCACCUGUUGCCCAGGCUGGAGUGCAGUGGCGCCAUCUCUGCUCACUGCAACCUCCGCCCCCCGGGGUUCAAGCGAUUCUCCUGUCUCAGCCUCCCGAGUAGCUGGGAUUACAGGCGGCUGCCACCGCACCCAGCUAAUUUUUUGUAUUUUUAGUAGAGACAGGGUUUCACCAUCUUGGCCAGGCUGGUCUUGAACUCCUGACCUAGUGAUCCACCCGCCUCGGCCUCCCAAAGUGCUGGGAUUACAGACGUGAGCCACUGCGCCCGGCCGAGAGUUGGACUAUUGAUCUCUGAAGUCUCAUCACAUUCUCACACUCAAGUCUUUUUUUUCUUUUUUUUUUCUUUUCUUUUCUUUUCUUUUUUUUUUUUUUUGAGACGGAGUCUCACUUUGUCGCCAGGGUUGGAGUGCAGUGGCACGAUCUUGACUCACUGCAACCUCCACCUUCCAGGUUCAAGUGAUUCUCCUGCCUCAGCCUCCCGAAUAGCUCGGAUUACAGUUGCCCGCCACUACACCCAGCUAAUUUUUUGUAUUUUUAGUAGAGAUGGGGUUUCACCAUGUUGGCCAGGCUAGUCCCAAACUCCUGACCUUGUGAUUCACCCACCUCGGCCUCCCAAAGUGCUGGGAUUACAGGCGUGAGCCACUGCACCCGGCCUUUUUUUUUUUUUUUUUUUUCUCUUCAGACAGGGUCUUACUCCAUCGCCCAGGCUGGAGUGCAGUAGCAUGAUCUUAGCUCACUACAACCUGUGCCUCCCCGGGUACAAGUGAUUCUCCUGCCUCAGCCUCCCGAGUAGCUGGGGACUAUGGGCACUCACCACCAUGCCUGGCUAAAUUUGUAUUUUUUAGUAGAGAUGGGGUUUCACCAUGUUGGCCAGGCUGGUCUCAAACUCUUGACCUCAGGUGAUCUGCCCACUUCGGCCUCCGAAAGGGCUGGGAUUACAGGUGUGAGCCACCGUGCUGGCCUCAAGUUUUAAUAGUUUGGUUGGAGCUCCCCCAUCCAGUUUCAGCAAAAACUACAUCAUAAAACUAUAAUUGAGAUUUUAAAAUUUGAUUGCAUAAAAUGUGGAGUUGCAUUAUUUUUAAACUCUGAGUAUAGUUUUUAAUUUUUAAUUUUUAUGGGCACAUAGGUACAUAUAUUUAUGGGUUACAUGAGAUAUUUUGUUAUAGAUAUGUAAUGUGUAAUAAUCACAUCAGGGUAAAUUAAAUGGCAGAUCCAUCACCUCAAGCAUUUAUCACUUGUGUUAUAGACAAUCCAAUUAUACUCUUUUAGCUAUUUUUAAAUGUACAAUUAUUUUGGGCUGGGCACAGUGGAAUGUGCCUGUAAUCCCAGCACUUUGGGUGGCUUAGGCAAGAGGAUCCCUUGAGCCCAGUAGUUUGAGACCAGCCUGGGCAACAUAGCAAAACCCUGUCUCCAUAAAAAAUAAUAAGAAAAAUGAGCCGGACAUGGUGGCUACACCUGUGGUCCCAGCUACUCGGGAGGUUGAGGUGGGAAAAUCACUUGAGCCCGGGAGGUCAAGACUGCAGUGAGCCUUGAUCUGCGCCAGUGCACUCCAACCCGGGAGACAGAGCCAAACCCUGUCUCAAAAAAAAACCCCAAAAAACACCAAAAAUUAGGUUGGGUGCCAUGGUUCAAGCCUGUAAUCCCAGCACUUUGGGAGGCUGAGGCGGGCGGAUCACUUGAGGUACGGAGUUCAAGUCCACCCUGGCCAACAUGGCGAAACCUCGUCUCUACUAAAAAUACAAAAAUUACUGGGAGACCGAGGCAGGUGGAUCAUGAGGUCAGGAGAUCGAGACCAUCCUGGCUAACAUGGUGAAACCCCGUCUCUACUAAAAAACAUACACAAAAAAUUAGCUGGGCAUGGUAGCAGGUGCCUGUAGUCCCAGCUACUAGGGAGGCCGAGGCAGGAGAAUGGUGUGAACCCGGGAGGCGGAGCUUGCAGUGAGCCGAGAUCACACCACUGCACUCCAGCCUGGGUGACUGAGCAAGACUCCAUCUCAAAAAAAAAAAAAAAAAAAAAAUUAGCUGGGCGUGGUGGUGGGUGCCUAUAAUCCCAGCUACUCGGGAGGCUGAAUGAGGAAAUCUCUUGAACUCAGAAGGCAGAGGUUGCAGUGAGCCGAGAUUGCCCUACUGCACUCCACCCUGUGUGACAGAGCGAGACUCUAUCUCAAAUAAAACAAAACAAAAAAAUUAUUUUUGACUGUAGUCACCCUGUUGUGCUGUCAAAUAGUAGGUCUUAUUAAUUCUAUUUUUUGUACCCAUUAAUCAUCCCCACUUUCCUCCAACCCCCCACUAUCCUUCCCAGUCUCUGGUAACCAUCCUUCUACUCCCUAUCUCUGUGAGUUCAAUUAUUUUAAUUUUUAGCUCCCACGUAUUAGUCAGAAAAUGCAAUGGUUGUCUUUCUGUGCCUGGCUUAUUUUACUUAACAUGACCUCCAGUUCCAUCCAUGUUGUUGCAAAUGACAGGAUCUCAUUCUUUCUCAUGGCUAAAUAGUACUCCAUUGGGUAUAUGUACCACAUUUUCUUUAUCUGUUCAUCUGAGCACUUAAGGUUACUUCCAGAUCUUGGCUGUUGUGUGAAUAGUGCUGCAAUAAACAUGGGAGUGCAGAUAUAUCUCUUGGGUGUACUGGAGUUGCAUCAUUAUGUUAAUGAAAUGAAAUCAGUGGCCAGGUGGAAACCACGAGGUAAUCAUCCAUCACAGUAUGGAUGCUCUUCAACUUAACCUGAUAAAGACAUCGUGAGUUGAAAAUAUCAUUAAGUUGAAAAUGCAUUUAAUACACCUAAUCUGUCAAACAUCAUAGCUUAGCCUAGCCUACCUUAAACGUGUUCAGAACAUGUAGCAUUAGCCUACAAUUGGGCAAAAUCAUCUUAACAUGAAGCCUAUUUUAUAGUAAAGUGUUGAAUAUCUCAUGUAACAUAUCAAAUACUGUAGUGAAAGUGAAAAAACAAUGCCUAUUUGAGUACUCCAGGUAUGGUUUCUCUUGAAUAUGUAUCACUUUUGCACCAUCGUAAAGUAGAAAAAUCGUAAGUGGAACCAUGGACCAUCUGCAUAUUCAAGUUUAUGUUAUUGUGGGGUUUUCUGUACUUGGUCAAGAGCAGAGUGACUACAACCCUGCUACAGUGUAACAUUUUAUUAUUGUGUUAGGGUGAGUCCCCAGUCACUGUUCUCAAUCAUAACCUUUCCAAGGAGAGGAGGCUAAGUUGUAUUGGACUCAGUUUGCUGCUACUAUAUGACUUCCUCAGUUUUUGCCAUAUUUUUGUACUAAGCAUUUGACACUCACAAGUCCAACUCUGAUUUCCUUGUAUAUCCAUCCUGCUUUGGGCUGGUGAGCUUGAUUCUGAAGGUUGAUGUCUUUUAUCAGUAUUGGAAAACUCUUAGCCAUCAUCUCGUUUGAUUCUGCCGUAUUCUGUCUUUCCCCUCCUUCUGGUUCUCCAAUUUACAAGGACAUGAGACCCUUUGGUAUUUCUUAGGAUCUGCUUCUUUUUUCCCCCUUUUUCUAUUUGGCUUUUAAUAAUGGAUAUUUUUCAUUAGCCUCUAUAUUCAGUUUACUAAUCUUGUGUUUUGCUGUGUCCAGUCUGCCAUUAAACCCAUUCAGUGGAUUAAUUUCGGAUAACUGUAUUUUUUCUUAAUUUCAGAUUUUUUUUUCUAGGAUGUCCAUUUGAUUCUUUUUUAAAGCUACUUUCUAGUUCUCUGUUGAAAUUUCUGGUGAAUUUCUCUUUUCACCCAUUUCCUGUUUUUAUUCUUACUUUUUAAAUCAAUUAAUCAUGUUAUUUUAAAGGUCUCAUCUAAAUCCAAUAUCUGGAUCAUCUGUGAAUCUGCAUCUUUCUUAUUUUUCUCUUGAAUAUUGGUUACAUUUUCUUGCAGUUCUCAGGUCUCAUACUUAUUUAAUUUUAUGUUGGGCAUUAUAAUGUCCAAAAGAACCUUACUAACUCUAGAUUAUAUCUUCCUCCAGAGAAAAUUUCUCCUCUUUACUUUGUUAGGUAAAUGCAGUGAAGGACUGAACACUUUCACUCCAUUGAGAAUUAAGCUAAGUUAAGGCCAGAUUGCAGUUUUAUGAAGACUCAAUCCAGCUAUGCUUGUCUGUGCUUCUCAGGCAUGGCUCUCCUGGACUUUGAUCAAAAGCCUGGAAGACCUUUGUUUUCUUAGUCCUGCAAAACUGUGGAAGAUGCAAAACUGUGGAAGAUUCAGUCCUGCCCUUUGGAGGUCUUGAGUUUAACCUCCUGCUCCCAGAAUUUCAAAUUCUUGCAACUGUUUGAGGGUAAAACUGGUUAUGUAUUUGAGGGAACACUCCUACUCUCCUAAAAUGCUGUCUCCAAAGCACUAUGAAACUGUAGGAGAUUUCACUCUGCCUUCUAGAAACCCUUAGCCUAAUAUCUCACUCUCUUUCCCCAGAACUGAGUAAACGGGAAUAGUUCCCAUCUGUCACAUCAGCUUUUGUGUAUUCACCAUAAAGCUUUGCUGGUUCUCUUUCUCCCAGCAGAAAUCCCUUCUCUUCACAAGUCUCAUUAGGAUGAGCUCAGAGUUCUCAAUUCCCCGGAGGAAAGGAAAUCAGACUAUCAGCUCACCUCAGCAGCGUUCCCUUCCUCUGGCAUUCUUGUUUUUGAGUCCCUUAUAGUCUAAUGGAAGCCUCAGAGAUUUUUCUCCAUGCAACAUGUAAGAUGGGAUCUGUAACUUCAUAAUAUGCAGCAUUUGCAUGUUCUCAUCUAUUCUCAUGGAGUCUUCUGUUUAAACAUUAAACGUUUUUUAGCUUCAUGAUAAAAAGUAAUUUUGGUAGUAAGCACCUGCUGACUCAUUACAAUAUUUUCAAAGGAGGAAAAUGGGAAUACUUAGACAAUAUGGUUGUCUUCAAAAUAUUUUCAUUGCAUUUUUUAAGUUUUUCAAAUUUUAAUUUGUCUAGAAAACACUUUGUAGGUAGAAGAUGGUAAUGGAGGCAGUUUCAGUUGCUUUAAAGCUCCCUCAGAUGGAUUCCUUAUUGGAUCCAUUUACUUCUCAUGUAGUAAAAUGAGGCAUGACUGUCAUUACAAACCCUCCCAUUUGAGAAGAGAAUUUGCUCCAGAGAAUUCUAGUACCACUAAUAGGCAGUGUCCAUAUGGUUUGCACAUGUAAAAACAAGAGAAUGAGCUCCCCAAAUUAUUUAAAUCUGAACCAUUUCAUUGUUAAGGAGCAAUUCCGUUAACUUUUGUUUGAAGCUGUGUAAGACUUGGCCAGUGCCGAAAGCCCCAGGGUUGAUGGAGGCCCUGAGUUCUAGUGUUGGCUCUGCUUCCACAAGCCAUUUGCCAGUGAGGCCUCUGUUCACUCAUCCCGAGAAUGAGAACAUUGAAAUACUUGAAUCCUAAUGCUAUCUCUGCCCUUUGGAUUCCAAUCAGUCAUUUAUCACUUGGAAAUUAAGGUUAUACAUGCGUUUCAACAAACUGUAUUGCCAGGAUCAAUUAAAAGAAUGAAAGUAUGCAAAUUUCUUUUAACUCUUUAAAAUUUUCUAUUUCCAACCUAAUGAAGAAGCAAGGAGUUGUGUGUAAAGAGCACUAAACGGCAUGUAAACAAAUAAAAAUGAAAUAGUGAUUUUUGAAUCUGGAGUACCUGAAUUCGAGUCAUAGGCACUGUCUGCUUUGGUGCCUUGGGCAAGUCAUCAACUAUAAGCCUCAGUUUCCUCAACUAGAAAGUGGAUAGAAUAAAUAGUACAGUAGCUUUACCUAUCUCAUGUGGGUGUUUGGGGAAGCCAAUAAAACAUUUCAUGUGUGAAGGCUCUUUAUAAAUAGUAAAGGGCUAUAAAAACAUCGAUUAUCAUUAGGACUAAUGAUGCAGCCCUUGUCAGCAGUAACCAUCUGUUGUGGCUGUCACUCUCAAAAGCAAGAUGCGAAAAUGACCCAAAGGUAUUUAAAUUACGUUCACCUUGAGUUUUGUUCCCAUAUGACUGUUUUUGUUUGUUUUUGGUAGGUAAGCUGACACUAUGGUUAGGGUUUGAGCUCUGUCCUUGGAGCCAUUGAAAUGUAGAGCUGGAAGGGACACUAGAAUCACCAAAUUCCCCUCUUUUAAGUUGUAGCUUAUGAAGUUUAACUGACUUACCUAAGUUAACAGAGCUGCUUCAAGGUAUAACCACAAAGAGUUUUGCUUAAACUCUGAUUUGUAUAAUUAGGACUAUAAUUUUGAUCAAGUACCAAAAUAAUGAAGGAGAUUUCUUUUGCUUUCAAACUUUGGGAUUCUCUAUUUUCCUUCUCCCUAUCCCCACUGAUAUCUUUCACUUCCCUCCUAUUUCACAGCCCUCUCCUUCCAUUUGGAUGGUAUAGCACCUCUACCCACUUCAGAGAAGAGGGUCCUCUGUCUCUCACCCAAAACCAAUCCCCUACCUGUGCUCUUGAUUCCCACCCAUUUUUGCCUCCUCUGGGACCUAAUCUAACAGUCAUUCUGUCUAUGACCUAUUUUGUCUUGCUCUCCCUUUCUGUUGGUUCUUCUUGGUCUACAAAUGUGUCCAAACUUGUAAGACUGUUUACUUCAUCCUACAUACCGCUUCUUUUCAAUACUUGACUAUUGAAAAGGAAACUGGUAAGAAGACUCAUAGCUUUUUCAACUUCGAUUAAUUCCUUAUAUGGUAAUGUACAAGUACAGGGACUGGUGCUUGGUAGUAGCUCAGGAAAGUUCCUUCCCUCCCUCCUGACUCUCCCCUUCCUCUCUGUCAUCCCCUGCCUUCUUGUCCUCCACCUUCCUCUUGUUACUCUUCUUAUUUCUUUCUGUUCCCUGCCUUCUCUUGUCCCCUUAACUCCCCAGUUUGUUGCAAUUUGUUUCCUGGCCUCCCUUAGGGACGCUGAUCUGGCUUUUGCUCAUCAAUGACCUAACGGUGGACUCCAGUGGCUGUUUCUCAAUGACACCUGUCUGUUUUUAACUUGCUGCCAGUUUCUGGGUACUUUUUCUUCUUCUUUUAGCCUAUAUGAUCCUUUCUUCUCAGGAUCUAGGCUGGAUUCCUCUUCCCUUUCUAGUUUUUUAAGUGAUGCUAUUCUCCAGUAGAAUUCAGCAUCAACCUGUAGUCAACUCCCUACUCAGCCGCCAUCUGUGAUCACCAGCAUGGUGGGCUGCUUCCUCACACCCUUGACACCAUGUUGAAUCUUAAGGCUUCAGCCCCUUGCUUCUCUUUUCUUCCAUAAACAUUCAGCCCAAAUGCACUCUUCAGAGAAGUCUUCACCAGCAACCUCAGUUACAGCUCCACAGAACUUUAAAGGUCCCUCUAGUAGCCCUGAUAUCAGUGCUGGGAUUUCACUUCAUCCUCUCCAUUUUGUUCCUGCCUCUAGUGGGUGAGUGCCUUGUGGCAGAGACUGUGUCUGAUUUAUUUCUAUGGGACUUAACCCUCCGUCAGUGCUGAAUAAAUGAGAGAGAACAAUCAUUCAUUUAAGUACACUUCUAUAGAUAAGUACUGCUUUAAGAGACUGAAUGUUGAUUAGCCACAGGGAAGAGAAAAGUAUAAGAUCAGAAACGACUUCAUGGUGUAUGUUGUUAUGGGAAUCUAUGGUAUUAGCCAGUUUAUUAAAUAUUAAAUUAUUUUAUAUGAAGUAGCACAGUGUGAUAGGUAGAAUAAUGGCUCUCUGCUGUGGUUUGGAUAUGGUUUCUCCCCAGCAAAACUUAAGCUGAAGUUUGUUCCCCAGUGUUAGAGGUGGGGCCUAAUUAAUGGGAGGUGUUUGGAUCAUAGGGGUGGAUCCUUCAUGAAUGGGUUGGUGCUGUUUUCACAGUAGCGAGUUGUUGCUCUCCCUAGACUGGAUUAGUUCCCACGGAGAAUGGAUUAGCUCCUGAGUGAGUGGGUUGUUAUAAAGCCAGGACGCCCCUCAGGUUUUCUGUCUUCACAAGUGUCUCUUUCCUUUUUGACCUUCUCUGCCAUGUUGUGAUGUAGCAUGAAAGCCAUUGCCGGAAGCCAGGGCCAUGCCCUUGAACUUUUUAGCCUGCAGAGCUGUGAGCUAAGAAAACCUCUUCUUUAUAAAUUGCCUUGUCUCAGGUUUUGUUUUGUUUUUUUUUAUAGCAAUACAAAAUGGAGUAAGACAAAAUGGGCUAAGACACCCUCCAAAGAUGUCUAUGUAUCCUAAUCCCUGGAACCUGUGAGCAUGUUAUAUGGCAAAGGGGAAUUAAGAUUUGGAAAUGGAAUUAAGGCUGCUACUCAGCUGACUUUAAAAUAGGGAAAUUAUCCUGGAUUAUCUGGGUGGGAUCAGUGUAAUCAUGAAGCUCCUCAAAAGUGGUCUCUGCUGUAGGAUUGCCUUAUUAGCUGAGUCCAUGGACUGCUGGGGGGUCUUAAAUUGCCUUGAACAUUGUCUUUGGUUAAUGCUUCAUUGAUGUAUUUCUUUUUUUUCUUUUUUCUUUUUUUUUUUUUAUACGGAGUUUUGCUCUUGUCAUCCAGGCUGGAGUGCAGUGGCGUGAUCUAGGCUCACUGCAGCCUCGGCCUCCCUGCAACCUCCGUCUGCUGGGUUCAAGCGAAUCUUGUGCCUCAGUCUCCUGAGUAGCUGGGAUUACAAGUGUGUGCCACCAUGCCUGGCUAAUUUUUGUAUUUUUGGUAGAGACGGGGUUUUGCCAUGUUGGCCAGGCUGGUCUCAAACUCCUGACCUCACAUGGUCCACCUGCCACGGCCUCCCGAAGUGCUGGGAUUACAGGCCUGAGCCACCUAUAUAUUAUUAAAUCCUUUUGUGGGGCGAGGAAACAGGCAUGGAGUGGUUAAAUUACACCAGGUCAUGCUGCUCCUGAUGACCGUGAGGUUUUACUGCACGUAAAGAGUUGGGGACCAGGAGUUGGGGACCAACCUGGCUAACAUGGUGAAACCCCAUCUCUACAAAAAAUACAAAAUUAGCCGGGCGUGGUGGCACAUGCCUGUAAUCCCAGCUACUCUGGAGGCUGAGGCAGGAGAAUGGCUUGAACCCAGGAGGCAGAGGUUGUGGUGAGCCGAGAUCGCGCCAUUGCGCUCCAGCCUGGGCAACAAGAGCAAAACUCUGUCUCAAAAACAACAAAAAAAGAAGUCUUGCCUUGAAUUUUGAAAGUCGC
rnacentral:lncRNA from 1 species